GUAUAAACACCCACGAAUUCUCUCACUCCUGUUAUUGCAUUUUGACAGACACAACAAGAUCACAUUUUUUUUAAUCACUAUCUCCUGCCGCUAUAUUUUUUCUUAUUGCUUUUAUCUCGAGAUUUAUAUAAAGCUGUAAAGAGUGAUCAAAUGCUACAGUUUCUGCUCAUUCGAGUAUCUUUCUCAGGUUCUGUUGAUUCUACUACUCCAUCUCAUUUUCUCUCGUAUUUAUAUGUUUCUCUUUGAAAUUCUUGUUUUCAAUACUUAUUUUANNNNNNNNNNNNNNNNNNNNNNNNNNNNNNNAUGAAUAGGCCAAAGCUGUUAACCCAUAUGGUAACUCCCGCUUGCAACAAAAUCGAUUCCAUCUUGCGGGGAAUCGAACUCUGCACACUACCGCGUUGAGCCCUAUCCGCCCUCUCUUUUGUCAUUGGGAGAUAUGCCCUGGGGCAACCCAAAACUAAUACCAGCUAAUGCUGUAUAUAUAUGCACCGUAUAAACACCCACGAAUUCUCUCACUCCUGUUAUUGCAUUUUGACAGACACAACAAGAUCACAUUUUUUUUAAUCACUAUCUCCUGCCGCUAUAUUUUUUCUUAUUGCUUUUAUCUCGAGAUUUAUAUAAAGCUGUAAAGAGUGAUCAAAUGCUACAGUUUCUGCUCAUUCGAGUAUCUUUCUCAGGUUCUGUUGAUUCUACUACUCCAUCUCAUUUUCUCUCGUAUUUAUAUGUUUCUCUUUGAAAUUCUUGUUUUCAAUACUUAUUUUAAGAACUGGGUAUUACUUUACUUAACGUAUUCUGGUUUUCGGGGUGGGAAAUUUUGUUUGUUUCGCUUUAUUUUGUAUGCAUAUAUGUGAAAAAUAGGUGGCCCGACGAAUUUCUUGAUUAGAGUCGUAAAGAUUUUAGCUUGUGUAGUAGUAAUUUUAUAAGU
rnacentral:lncRNA from 1 species